CGAGUAAGCCAGACAAUCGCUGCUGAUUUUUAGUCAGGAGAGGAAAGUCCGAGCUUCAUAGGGCAGGGUGCUGGGUAACUCCCAGUGGAGGCGACUCUAAGGAAAGUGCAACAGAGAGAUACCGCCUUAUUGAAUUUAUUUAAUAAGGUAAGGGUGGAAAGGUGAGGUAAGAGCUCACCAGCGCAUUGGUGACUUUGCGGCUAUGUAAACCCCACUUGAAGCAAGACCAAAUGGAGGCAUAUGGGGCUGCCCGUCCCGUCUCAGGUAGCGUCGCUUGAGUCUAUUGGUAACAAUAGGCCUAGAUAGAUGAUUGUCAAAUACAGAACUCGGCUUAUAGGUUUGCUCGUCCA
rnacentral:RNase_P_RNA from 2 species